rnacentral:rRNA from 1 species
UACGUAGGGUGCAAGCGUUGUCCGGAAUUAUUGGGCGUAAAGAGCUCGUAGGCGGCUUGUCGCGUCGACUGUGAAAACCCGCGGCUCAACUGCGGGCCUGCAGCCGAUACGGGCAGGCUAGAGUUCGGUAGGGGAGACUGGAAUUCCUGGUGUAGCGGUGAAGUGCGCAGAUAUCAGGAGGAACACCGAUGGCGAAGGCAGGUCUCUGGGCAUUAACUGACGCUGAGGAGCGAAAGCAUGGGGAGCGAACAGG